GAAUUCGCCCUUAGAGUUUGAUCCUGGCUCAGGACGAACGCUGGCGGCGUGCUUAACACAUGCAAGUCGAACGGGACCAUACAAGAUGAAGUUUUCGGAUGGAAUCGCGUAUAGUUUAGUGGCGAACGGGUGAGUAACGCGUGAGCAACCUGCCUUUCGGAGCGGGAUAACAGCUGGAAACGGCUGCUAAUACCGCAUAAUAUAACAUUAAGGCAUCUUUAUGUUAUCAAAGAUUUAUCGCCGGAAGAUGGGCUCGCGUCUGAUUAGCUGGUUGGUGAGGUAACGGCUCACCAAGGCGACGAUCAGUAGCCGGACUGAGAGGUUGAACGGCCACAUUGGGACUGAGAUACGGCCCAGACUCCUACGGGAGGCAGCAGUGGGGAAUAUUGCGCAAUGGGGGAAACCCUGACGCAGCAACGCCGCGUGAAGGAAGAAGGUUUUCGGAUUGUAAACUUCUUUUCUAAGGGACGAAGAUGACGGUACCUUAGGAAUAAGCCACGGCUAACUACGUGCCAGCAGCCGCGGUAAUACGUAGGUGGCAAGCGUUGUCCGGAUUUACUGGGUGUAAAGGGCGAGUAGGCGGGACUGUAAGUCAGGUGUGAAAUCUGGGGGCUUAACCCCCAAACUGCACUUGAAACUAUGGUUCUUGAGUGAUGGAGAGGCAGGCGGAAUUCCCGGUGUAGCGGUGGAAUGCGUAGAGAUCGGGAGGAACACCAGUGGCGAAGGCGGCCUGCUGGACAUUAACUGACGCUGAGGAGCGAAAGCGUGGGGAGCAAACAGGAAUAGAUACCCUGGUAGUCCACGCUGUAAACGAUGGAUA
rnacentral:rRNA from 1 species